CUUGUAAUUACCGAGUUCGAAGUGACUGUGAAGACAAAGGACAGGAAGACUCUCCAAAGGGCAGCCUCCGACGUGGUGAGAGGCGCGCGCUGGGAGCAGGGGAGGGGUGGGGAGCGAUUUUGCGCCGCGUUGGGUCCUCCGCAGGCUCAGGUGUGGGCGGACAGGUGGCGCCACCUCCUUCCAAGCCCUUCUUGCCUAGUAGGGGAGGCAGCCUGUGCCCGGACCCAGCAUCCUGAGUGUAGACCUGGGAGCCGUGUGUCGCCCUGUGAAGAAACACCCGGGAUGGCUGCGAUUUGCUUGGUUAACCGACAGGCGAGGUUAAAGUCGUUUUCUCAAAACUUGCAAGUGAGACCGGUCAUCCUCGCUUUCACUGGCGGGAAGGCGGGCUCAGAGAGGUAAACGCACCGUGUCCGAGGCCACAGUCCCGACAGCAGAGAAACCGGAACUCGACCCAGGAAAUGGAGCAGAGAGAGACCACACAGCAGGUAAAUGGCAGAAGCAAAAUUUGGGACCAGGCAGCAUGACUCUGGAUCCCAAACACUCAGCCACACAUCAGAUUGGCCCAAAGUCUUCUGAAGGCUACAUCAAGAUGCUGUAUCUUUCUUUCCCUGGGGCAAAAAUAUUUUCCUCUUCUACUUACAAUGGAAAGACAAUGUCCCAGACAGGUUCAAAGUGACAAGUUGCAAUGAGAGUCUCUCUGAAAUCUGUGAAGUUGACACAAUAAAUCUGUGAUUCUUCUGUUCCUAUG